UGUCCUGUAGUUGAAUAAUACAACAUUAAAUUGCAAAUUUGAAGGAGCAGGUGUGCCGGGGCAU
rnacentral:tRNA from 1 species